AUCGCUUCUCAGCCUUUUGGCUAAGAUCGAGUGUAGUAUCUGUUCUUAUCAGUUUAAAAUUCAAAUAAUGCAAAAUAACUUUGCAAGGGAGGAAAAUUAAGGAAUGUUUGGCAAAGAAUGACAAAUAGAAACACUC
rnacentral:snRNA from 1 species